rnacentral:lncRNA from 1 species
GCUAUUUUGGAGUUUAGCUCAUUUUUAAGCAACAUGCUAAAGUUUUUGGCUAAUUUAUUAGCUACUGAGGUUUUUUUAGGAUAAUUUGGAUUUUAACUUUUAUUUUAGUGUUGUAAUCUGUUAUGCUGUUUAUUUUCAGAGUUUUAUUUUGAAAUGUUUGGGCGCAAACUGGGUGUGGCUGGUGGACAGCGCGGGGUGCAGAAGAAGAAGAAGAAGAAGAAAAAGGAGGGAGAGGUGAGUCUGCUUCGUUCUUCACCGCUUCGCCGACGAAAAAGAAAAGGAGAGAGGACAGAUUGAAGUCUCGCUCCAUCGAAGAGGAAGCCGAGUUGGAUAUCACUCAGACUGACUUUUGUACCGAGGGAACGCAAAUUUCAAGCGGGGAUUACUCCGACUACGGCGGGGAGCGCUACUCCGUUAAGCUAGCAGCAGAGCUAGCAUUGUGGGCCGUGUGAAAAACCCUGUGAAGAGUCGAUGGAAUUCGGCGGAAACUCUGCUCUGCGGUGUUGAGGACAUCAACGGAGUGACUCUGACCUGUAUCGUCUCAAACCGUGAGGAUUAAGGCGAAUGGAACCGUAUCAAAAAGCAUCAAUGAGAAAACUCAGAAGAAACAGCAACUCUCUGCUGCAGCAUCUGAUUUACCGAGGAGUUCACGGAGGAGGCAGGGACACUCCAAUUCCAGCUCAGCCGAGAGACGCUAAAAUGAUCCAGUCCAUCGCCAGCCUGAUCAGAGCGAAGAGCAAACUGCU